CCUUCCUAGACAAAUAAACAGAUACCACAGUAUAGAUUUAGAAAUUAAGCUCUUUACCAUUCAGUACAAAUAGCCACCAAAUAAUCCCAAUCUAGACAUCAAAACUCAUUCCUCAUGUUUCCACUGGGAUGCCUUUGAUUUAACAACAUUCCAACAACAACAGGUCACAUUCUAACCUGACACUGAUAUAAUACAAUUACAUAAGCUGGGAAAUGAAGUUGGUUAUUAAGCCAAUAUAAAUUUCACACUCUCAUUGAUUUCCCAAUAGUUUGGAGAAGUAUUUUCAAACGUAUUUCACAAUUAACACUGGGAUAGUCAAUCAUAUAUUGUAAACUAUACUUUUACACUGUUGUCUUAUUUAGCUGUUUAACAGAUUACACUAUCUGUUACAGUAUGCUAGGGUGUAAUGUGCACAGUUAGAUAAAGUUCUGCUAGGAUGUUUUUCUGUCUAAACAUCCAAAGGACUAUGCCCUAAAUUUAUGUUUGGUGAAGAUAUUUUAAAAGAUAACAUAUUGGUGUGACUUACAUUCUAAUCCUUUACCUUUAUAGGGCCAUGCAAAGAAUUGUACUGGAUCAGCUACCACAGUGUACUACUUGAUGCAAGACGUGGAGAGCUGGCCAGAUUCAUCCCCAUUCCAUGUGCCUUCCAGCUGGUGUCAGGCACCACUGGUGUUAGGAACUGGAAUUAUGCCAAAAGAUGGAGCUCAGUAGGGUAGAGCAGAUGUUUUGCAUGCAAAAGGUUCCAGAUCCAUUUCUUUGCAUCUCUAAGUAGAGCUGGGAAGGCCUCCUGUCAAAAACAGUUGCCACCCGUCAGCAUGGACCAAUGGUCUGAUUUAGUACCUAGACAGCUUUUUGAGUUCCUACAUUAAAUCUCAAAGUUCUAGUUGCUCUCCCAGAAAUAUACAUAUAUUGUACAGUGUUUCUGUUCAACAUUAAAUGCUGAAGUAGCCAUUAAAUGAAUUAAAAGUAACCAUUACCCUAUGCUGAAGUUCAAAUACCUUUGGCUGAUACAGCACAAGAAGCUGGCACAGGAGGUUUGGAUCAGCCCUCUCCAACCUGGCACCCUCCUUAAUUGUUGAGUUACAAUUCCCAUUAUCCUCAGCCUAGAUGGCAAAUAUAGUUCAUGCAUUAUAUGGCAAUGAUGGACAUUAUAGUUCAGCAUAUCUGGAGCGUGCUAAGUUGUAGAUGGCUCUUCUGGCUCUGAGAAAGGCAGCUAGGGGCUGCAGUGACCCAAAACUGACCCCUUGUUUCCCCCCUCAGCUCCCAAGUUCGAAGUGUUGGAGGAGUGCAGAUGGUUUUUGCAGUUGUUUUAGGCCUUUGAAGCCCAAAACAACAGCAAUCCCCACCUCCCUAUCUUCCAUGAAAAAUAAGGUGUUAAAAAGAACAGGAGUUUGUCUCUGAUUGGAUGCAAACACACAAUAGAGGGUCAAUGACAAGAAGCACAACUAGGCCCUAGAAAGCACAAGUUUUGACUUGGCAACCAAGAAUAGAAAUACUGUGGGCCCUGUACCUGGGUAUAGGUAUUCUCCUGUAUCAGUGCUGAGGACUCUGUGUUCAAUCUAAUGAUUUGCAGAGUACACACAGCAUAGUGAAGGAAAGCUCAGACAAUGCACAGGAAAAACAGGUAGGAUUAGAUUUUAUUCGACAAACAUGUACUGGUUCAAUACAAUAUUCAGUUACAUAAGAACUCUUCACCAGACAUUUUGCAAAGAUGACACAUGUUUUAAUUCAGGAGAAACUGAUUCUGCAUUUCAUGGAAAUUUCACAACUAUUCCAAAGGCAAACUGCCCUCUAUUAAAAUGUGGAUGGACAGUGAAAGUCCAUACUGACGAGGUAGUGAAAUUUCAAUUGGCUUGGGGGCAAAUGUCUCCAAAGGGCUGAGACAUAAGUGAAGUACUGUGCUGGAAGAGACAGACCAAAUAGGAUAGAAGAAUGAUUAGGGCUUCUAAAGCCCAAGAAGGUAAGUGAAGAGUCAAUCCUGAUCAGCUAGACACAAUUGCAUAAUCUUUUGUAGUUCUAUUUAAACCCCAAGCCAUCUUUGUACUACCUGAUAUAUAUCCUCAUAAUGCCCUCAUACAUCAAUUUAGGUAUGUGAAAUAGGGGACAACAGGUUUUUUUCCCUUUAGGUAGUGGUUUCCCAGGGUUCACAUUUCCACACAUUAUUUCCAUAAAAAACAUACAAGUUGGCUGAUCUCCAUAACAAAGUUGACAGCUCAUAAAGAUUUAAAACACCUAAGUGAAGAGAAUUUGAUAAGGCAUUCUACUCCCCUGGAAUGUUUCUGGAUUGCAGUUCCCAUCAACCCCAUCUAGCAUGGCCAAUAGUCAGGGAUUAUAGGAGUUAUAGUCCAAAACAUCUAUUGGACAUCAAGUUACCUGCCCUAGUGAUAAGGAGACCAUGUUAGCAUUGUUUUUUCACUGCUGCUUACAGAAUCUUCUUGAAAGUAGAUUCAAAUGGAUCUACCUAAGACCAAGUACAUAUUUAUUCACUGCAAUAAUGUGAGAGUGAAAGUGUGGGAGAAAGGAAGGAUGAGUAGGAAGAUCAAAAGAAAAUCUAUUCAGAAAAUAAAAAAUAAAGACUCUUGAGCUUAGGUAUGCUUGUAAUAUGAGACUACACUUCUACAUAGGAUGGAAACAUAACUUUGUACAAGAGAUCCCCCCCUCCCUUAAGUCCACUAAUGAAGCUCUUCCUGAAGUGGCCUUUCUAUUUUGAGACCACAUUCUAGAUGAAUUUCCAAGGGAGAUCAGAUAUCAAAUACUGCUUUUGCUCACAGGAUAAAUAUCAUCCAAUAGGAGCCGAACUACACAGGAUGGUCUCAUCCCCCAUCCCAAUCAGGCUUUUAUACAAGAAAUCAUUUUUAUUGGGAAAAAGGUGGCUAUGGGAUAAAUGGAGAUGCCAGGAGUUGAACUUGGGACCUUCUACAUGCAAAACGUUUGAUCUACUACUAAACUACAAAUUACCCCAACACAAAUAAUGUGCCUUAUUGGUGGGACAACAACAAUUUGAAAAGUCCAAGGAUCAGCUCUUUGAACUGAUAAAACUUUCCUUGCCUGGUCAAGAAUAUGGAAGCAAUUCUUCCUUUCUUCUAGCUACCAUGCAAAGGUCUUAAGUACAACCUAAGAGCCCAAUUUAUUAGACAGAAAACAAGCAAAAUGUAAUUUCCAGGGAAAAAUAAGUUGGAAAAUUUUCUAAUGUCCCUAACAGAGUUAGCAUGUCUACUUGACAUAAUUAAUAAACAAAACUUUAAAAUUACCCCAUUUCCCAUUAGCCAUAAGUAUCUGAAAUCAUGUAUUUGAUUAAACAUGGCCUAAAUAUUAGUUUUACACAAAUUAUUUUUAUUGGCAUACUUAUAAAAAUGAAAUGGGCCAGUUUGUGGUGUUGCAUCAUGAGCAAGAAUGUGCCCAGGUUCAACCACUCCCUCCCCUCUCUUUUUCCCAUACAAGUGGAAGGAGAAAUAAGCCUGAAUUCAACUUCACUUAAAUUAGGGUUCACUAAUUCACUUCAAUUCAUGGCUUGUUUUUUCAUGUGAACUAGGAACCUUGAUUUAAUAGAAACUUUAGCCAAACCAAUCUCAAAUCUGGAUAUUUAUUUAUUUAUUUAUUUAGCAUGAAAAUGACAAACCACAAUUCUACCUCCGUGAAACUAAUUUCUGGCUUAUUCUGGGAGCUGGGAAAGUAUUUGAGCCUACCACUUUGCAAAGGCAGAUGCUUGCUUUGAAAUAAUAAUGCUAAAUUAUGAUGAAGUAUUACCUCCAAACCAGUCCAUAUUAUGCACUUCCUCCUAUAUUGUAAGUUUAAACUUAAAGAAAAAUAACAAAAUCACUGAAAUCUGUUGACACACUAAUUUUAGCACACCAAUGGACUGUGCAUGAUAUGCCAUCGUUGCCCACUCAAUGAAUUUUAUGUAACAUUUAGGAACAGACUAACUUCUGUGGGGAAAAAAAUAAUUACUGGAAAAAAAUCCACCCCAGAUCACUGACAAAUUGUUUCCAAGCAAACAGUUUGCAAAAGGUACUGAUAGUACUGAAGUGUUUCACAACCAUUAUUCUCAGUACAAUGAUCAAGAGAUCUUCCACUCACCCCCCUUCUUUACAGUGGAAACUAUGGUUAUUUCCUGUGUUAUUCAGUAAGUCUGUGACUGAGCCCUCCUAGAUGAAAACUUACAAUUGCCCUCAGAUCAAACUAGCUUUUUCGAAGACAGCAUAACAACCAUCAAACAUUUGCCAUAUUUCUAAUUCUUGACCUCAAAAGGGAAGAUUCUUAUAUCACUACAAUGAAGAGCUGACUCGGAAUUGUCAGAAUGCUAGUACUUUGGUUUGGAGAUAUUAAAAGUGUAGACUUGCUUUAGCAUGCUUUUAUUAAAUUAAGAUUUAAUUUUAAUGACAAGUUAAUUUUGAAAUGUAUAGUUUUAUUUUAAAAUAAAUUCCCAUGACUUCUUUAAAAAGCAAACUUUUGUUUAUGUUUGUCAGUAAACAAACAGUCCCUUAGAAAGUCUUCUUUCCUGUUAGUGAAUCCUUUGAAUUUUCUCCUGCAUUAUGACAUUUGGAAGGAGUCAAAGCCAACUGCAGGAUCACGUGCGCUCUCUCUCGCCCUCUCUCUCUGGAGCUCUUGUGUAUAUGCUAUCAAACUUAGAAAAAAACUGAAAACAUGAUACAACAAGCAAGACUGCUUGUACUAAGUUUCUGCCUAGGGUGAAGUUUUAUUGCAUACUGAAAUAUCAGAUAGAUGUUUUAUAUUGGUAGUGGUGACACCAUUUAAAAGAAUAGCAUGAAUACAUAUUCUAUUAUUAUUAUUAUUAUUAUUAUUAUUAUUAUUAUUGCUACUGAGAGGUACAAUCACAUCAUAUUGGAGAAUUUAGAAUUCAAACCUAGUGCCUAUAUUUGCUCUGUUCAAAUACACAAAAUGAACCAUAAUUUCAUUAUGUCAUUCUCAAUAUCAAUAACAGUCAAACAUUUUGAUGAGUAUAACUGUUGCAAUACAGUAAAAAUAAUAUUAAGUUUCUUUGAUUCCUUUGUCUUCCAAACUCUAUUAAUUUAAUUAUUUAGUAGUCCUUGGUGGUUUACAUAUACUAUGUCCCUAUGUACCCUAACGCAAAGAGUAGGUGACAAAAAAGUGACAUGUCAGAUUAAAAGAUUAUUGCCAGAUAAGUUCUACCACCUUCUUCAUAAGAUUGUAGAAAUUUCUGAAAAGAUAGGAAUGGUUACACAAGCAUUACAGAAAGAACUGAGUAUAUAAACUUUGUUCUUUUACAAGGAGAGUUAUACAGCCCACAUUUUUGAACAUUCAAAACCAAAGAGCCUAGAUCUGUUUAAAAAAGAAUAGUGUAAAGACUGAGUAUUUCAAGAUUAUUGAUUUUGAAUAAGAAAACUAGCAUUUGAAUUACGUUAUGGCAGGAUAGGAACAAGGGAAAGACAAAAACCACCUUAUUUUUGUGUUGAGAGAGAAACUGAUUUUAGAAUAAGCAAUAUGGGAGUAAACAGCAGAAGCACCUUCACCAAGGGCAGACAAUUUAAGAGUAAACCCUUAGUACUUUUAAUAAAAAUAGCUAAAUUCAUAAGCAUAGAGUUUACAGUUUACCAGUAAAAACAUGGCUCAUAGCCUUGGUCUCUCAGAAUGUCCCAUUAUAUUGGAAAAGUGAUAAUUUUUAUGUGCAUCGUCUUUAAAUUAUGUAGCAACGUGAGUUUCAGUAUGGACUUCCCAGUAAACACUUCUUCAGUGCAUGUACACAUGUUAACAUUUAACUGCAUGUUAAGAUCUUGUCCAAGGUCAGGUGAAUGGUGAUCUGUGACCAGGCCUUCUCUCUGAUAGUACCUCUGAUUUGGAAUGCUUUUCCUAAAGCUGUUCACCAGGCAUCUACCUUGUUUCCUUUUGGUACCAGACAAAGAUCCUGAUAUUAUCCACAGUCUUUUAGUCAUAUUUUUGUCACAGUGACUCUUUGUUGUUGUUUUAAAAAUAUUGUUGCCUUUUAAGGUUAUUAUUCUUACAACUGUUUGGAUCCAUUUUACUUAUGUCUUAAUUGUUUGUGUAUUUUCUUUUCAGGUCAAGUGCCCAAGGGGAGGGUUUUCCCCCCUAAAGAGCACUAUAAAAAUACAUUACAUAAAAAAUAAAUAUCAAAAUACAGUAGACUCUCAGUUAACUGGAACCCAUGGGAAUUGGUAGAUGCCAGAUAAAUGUAGUUUCUGGAUGCUUGAGAGUCACUAUUAAAAAUAGUCCUAACUAAUACUAUACCCCAUGCUAUACCAUACCAUAACCUCUGGGUUGACUUGAUAUUAAUACUGAAAUACAGCAAUUAAAAGCAAAUUAAGACAAAUACAAAUCUGCCUUCUGAGACUGAUCCUUAAUGUCAUAGAUUGUUGAUGAACCAACAUUAAAUUUCUCCAUGACUCUCCUUUCUCAAGCCUCUUGCAUAUUUGCAUCUUCUGCUUGAGGGAAGAAGGCAUAAUCCAGUAUGAAAGAAAAUCUCUGAACCCUGCUUGCCACAUCUGAGCCGGUCCCUUCAGAAACAAUACAGAAGGCAAAAGCUUUACACACCUGCAUGAUUUGUCCAUGUUGGAGGAUGGUGUUAUAUUUCAGUGAUUUCUCCAAGCAUUUUUGCAUAGCAGAGCAAAACCUUAUUUCCACUGACAAGGCAAAUCUAGUUGCUAAGUUUUCAUGAACUCCUAAUGUAGACUAGCACUUGCCUGAUCUAGGAGCAUCUUGAAAUGCAUAGGAAUAUUGUAGCAAAUUCAAUGGCAUGUCAGUGUCAUGAAUUUUGAGUGUAUUCACAAAAAGAGCAGUGUUGACCUAUGCACAACAUGAAUUUGAGAAUAUCUUCACUAGCAUCUCUCCUUUGCAGGUAUUUAUGUUUUUGUUUGUUCGAAUAGUCUACAGCUCUUGUUAUAUAUUGUAUUUAUAUAUGUUUCUGUCUCUUGGAAUUGUAGAUUGUUCUUAAGCAUCAUAAAACUGCACUUUUCUGUUGAUGGCAUUCCCUUUGUAUUCAAUGGAGCUUACUCCUAGCACAAGAUUGCAACCUGUAUUAAGCUAAUAAGGUUGGGAGGGAUGGGUCAGGAUAAGACAAAUUAUUUCAAGAUUACUGCUUAAGUUUCAGCAGAAAAGCAGAGUGCUAACAAGAACAAGAUGUGUGCAAACUAAGCAGGGUAUUCAUAUUAAAAAUGGACAAAAAGAACAUAACAAAAACAAUUUAUGGAAAAAACAGCUUGGGCAAACAUAGCUCCUCAGAGGUCUUUUUCACUGUUCCUUCCCAAUAAACCAACAGUCUCCAGACCUGUUUGUCUCAUCUGAAUACCUCUUGCUUCAACACAUGCAUUUUUCCUGACUAGUGUUUAGUUUAUUAAAACAAAGUAUUAGAUAACUAGAACAGGGCUAAGAAGGGAAGAAAGUGGACUCCCAGUUGAUCCAGGAAUAGCUGGUGUAAAGAUGCAAUCACAACCUGUUUCCCUCUCAUAAUAGUAAUAGCCACCUCCACCACAUUUUGUUCUGGUGUUUCCCAUUCUCUUUAUGCCUUGCUGUCAUUUUACUAUGAUUUUUAUUUAUCUUACACAUAAAAGAACUUUUCAUGUAUAGAACAUUGCACACAUGACAAAGUAUUAUUUGCUUUUAAAUGUCUAAUGUGACCAAAAUGCUUCUGUUUUCAUGAGCUCUGUAAUAACCAUAGAACACAUAUGUGGAACAAAACAGUGGGUGUUUUUGAUUUGUAUCAUCUCAUUUGCUAUGUCAGUGCCUGGAUAUACUGAAUGUAGGACUCAUUAGUGUUUGCCAAAAAUAUUUUAAACAUGCCAAGUUGACUCAUUUCUCAUCUAGUUCAUUAGUUUAUUAUCUCACUGGGUUCAUCAUAUCAUAUAUUUAUGUAACAGUCUAACCUUUGUAUUUUAAUCAAUGAAUUUUAUCUUGCUCCAUACAUAUGCAAAUUAA